rnacentral:rRNA from 1 species
CCUACGGGAGGCAGCAGUGAGGAAUAUUGGUCAAUGGACGAGAGUCUGAACCAGCCAAGUAGCGUGAAGGAUGACUGCCCUAUGGGUUGUAACCUUCUUUUAUAAAGGAAUAAAACGAGGCUCGUGUGCCUUUUUGCAUGUACUUUAUGAUUAAGGAUCGGCUAACCCCGUGCCAGCAGCCGCGGUAAUACGGAGGAUCCGAGCGUUAUCCGGAUUUAUUGGGUUUAAAGGGAGCGUAGAUGGGUUGUUAAGUUAGUUGUGAAAGUUUGCGGCUCAACCGUAAAAUUGCAAUUGAUACUGGCAGUCUUGAGUACAGUUGAGGUAGGCGGAAUUCGUGGUGUAGCGGUGAAAUGCUUAGAUAUCACGAAGAACCCCGAUUGCGAAGGCAGCUUACUAAGCUGUGACUGACAUUGAUGCUCGAAAGUGUGGGUAUCAAACAGGAUUAGAUACCCCGGUAGUC